UGCCUCAGUCUCCAGAGUAGCUGGAACAAGAGAAAAAGAAACUCUAAGAGAAAAAUAAAAAUUUGCCCAAGGUUACAACAGCUAACAAAUGGAAGAACUGGACUGUCAAUCCAAGAUCCGUCUACCUCCAAAGCUCAGCUUCAGGAAGAGAUGAGCUAUAGAGACAGUGGAAAGAAAUGCUCUCCCUGAGAAAGAAGAUCGUCCACUAGCAGUGGCAAAUUUCUCAUCUUCUGCAGAAGGCUUAGCAUAGAAAGUGAGCUACGGAAAUAAAAUGCCUGUUCUGAGGAAUAACAGAAUGAACUGAACAUAUAAAGCAAGUUAUGUGGACAGGCCAGACGUCAGGUUGUCAUCUGAGAAUGAAGUUAAUAGUGAGACUUGCAUGCAGGACUCCAUU